AACCAGUUUUCCUCUCUCCUGGGAACCUCAGCCACCAAGCCUGACCCCAAUUGUCACCAUCUCUGGUAUCCCAUCAAGGAUUCUUUCCUCUGAACAGUCUUUGAUCUGUGUAUCACUGAAUGUCUUAUUUUGAAUUUCAUGUGUAUAGCAGCUGCCCACAGUUCCCUGGGAAGGAAGCUGGUAUAAAUCAUUAAAAAACGAAAACAAAAACAAAAAAUAGACCGGAUGACAGUUUGCUCUGAGGCUCCCAAGGAAGUCAGGUAAGGCCUGUGAAAUUGGGUCUUUUAUUUUUUUUGGUCACUCAGCAUGCAGACUGUUAGUUUCCCAACAAAGGAUCAAACCCGUGCCCCCUGCAGUGGAAUUGCAGUCUUAACCACUGGACCACCAGGGAAGUCCCAGGAUCAGGUCUUAAUACUGGUGUCAGCAGAGCAACGAGGCGAGCCCUGGCGUGCCUGUCUGCUCCUGGACCAGGAGACUGAAAGCAUGUGUUCUUGAGAAGGAUGUGAUCUGACUCACACCCUGGGAAUUCUCUCUUGGCUCUGGGUCUGAACGUUUUGCACAAUGUCUACAAUCACACUCGCUAGGAUAUUUUCGGUUUGGAAUAUAAUUUUGAGAUACCUUCACAUCAUCCACAUUUUCUCUUUUUAAAAUGGCAAAAGUUACCUCCAUAUGGUUUAUGUGGUACAAUGCUUCCUAGAGAUGCAGAGUAGAAUUUCUAAGUUACAUGCUUUGGGUUGCCUCUGUUCCUAGAGCCUGAGCUCUGGCAACGUUUCACUCUCUGAAGGUCUGGAGACCCAAGUUGGACCCUGUGCUCCAUGGGCUGCCUCUGAAACUCAGGGUAGUCCUCAGUUAGAUCCAUUCAGCUUGCCUUCAUUGAUGAAGCUUGCUUUAAUUGUUGCUACACAACAGCCUGCCCGUACUGUAAGGACCAGGCAGCUUCAACAGUAAGAUGUUUUUCCAAGUUUUUGUUGUUUUUUUUUUUUUUCAGGAACUUGGAGACAGCUGUGUCUAGUUGGAGCUUGAGCCUGUUAAGACUGGUUAAGACCGCUGACGCUCCAACUGGGCACGUGCAAGUGGCUUCUUGCUGACCUUUUGACCUCAGAGAGCUCAAAACUAUCUUUUGUUUUGACACUAAGGCCGCCAUAUUCUGAACUUGCUUCCCAUGGAGACACCUAUAGCUUCCUUGCACCUGCUUAGAACUACAAUUGCCUCACCUUUUUCUCAUCUCCAAUCAUUACCUUUCCCCAUGCUCCUCAGCUGCCACUUUAUCCCACGAAUACCUGGGCCACUUGAAGUGGGGGAGGCAGCCUGGAGAUUUGUUCUGUCUCCACGCUUGGCUGCCUUGUGAACGUGCUGCAAACCUCAGCAUCUCAGCGCUUGGCUUACUGUGCUUGGGAUGAAUGAGCCUGGAAUUUGGUAGCAUCUCAUUUAGGGGGAAUUUGAAAGAAGCAGAAGACCUGAUUCCUGCUCUCAAGGCAUUUACAGGUUGGACAAAUUACAUAGUCAGCCCUGCAGGCCACAGUUGACUGGCUCACGAGUGGGGCUCUGACGUGAAAGUGUCAGCCUGGACUUUUAAAGGACCUAGGCAGAGGAAAAAGGAGUUGUUCUCCAGCAGCUGGAAGCUGAACACAGAUGUUCUAUUGUUCGGGAACGCAUCUUUGCAGGACUGUCAUUUGAGGAAUAAAGAAGUUACUGAUGCCGUAUUUGAUUGUCACCGAUGGAGCAGAAGCCCCUUUCCAUCUUGAACCUGGUGUAUUGGUGGAUUUUUGGAAACACACAUCAAGGAAUGCCAAGCUGAAGUCCAGCAUAUUGAGAUGUCUCAGUGUCUUCUAAACAAAGACUGGUCCUAUGGCAGAGGAGUGCACCAAGUCGAGUCCUUAGGAGCCUUUUCGUUCCCAGGAUUUGGGGCCCUCUGGAAGGAGGCCAGCAAACCUCCCACAUGAGGAUGAGAGAGCCAGCUGACUGCCUGGAAGUAAACCAUCUCUAUGUGGCUCUUCAACCUCAUCUAAAUAGUACAUAAGCACGAUGGUGAAGAGCACUUACAGAGAAGUGUUCACACCCUAGUCACUUCCGGAGAACACGCUCCCCUCGUGGAUGGCGCAA